GAUUUUGGCACACUCGUUAAAUUACGAAAAUAAUUGGACCAUUCGACGUUAUACUUCAUAGAAGAUAGUACCUAACACUACGGCGAUUUUUUUUUUUACAAAACCACGUUACGACUUACGUUCAAAUAGAAAAAUGACGACCAUAAAUCAUUAUUAUAAUUAUUAUGGGGAUAACGCUGCCCCCAUAAAUAAGGGUGAAGCAAAAACAAAUGACAAUCAAACAAAAAAUCAAAAAAAAAAAACAAAAAAACCUAAACCGAAAUGUAAAACGUGUAAUAAGGGCCACUAUGGCCGCUGUAGACGGCAGCCCGUGGCAUCUCUAAAAAAAAAAA